rnacentral:rRNA from 1 species
GGGAUAACCUCGGGAAACUGAUGCUAAUACCCCAUAGAUAUUCAAUGCUGGAAGGCUUGGAUAUUGAAAGCGCAAGCGCCAGAGGGUGAGUCUGCGGCCUAUCAGGUAGUACGUGGUGUAACGGACCACCUAGCCUAAGACGGGUACGGGCCUUGAGAGAGGGAGCCCGGAGAUGGGUUCUGAGACACGAACCCAGGCCCUACGGGGCGCAGCAGGCGCGAAACCUUCGCACUGCGCGAAAGCGCGACGAGGGGAACCCGAGUGCCUCUCCAUUUCGGGGAGGCUUUUCACAAGCCUAAAAAGCUUGUGGAAUAAGGGCUGGGCAAGACGGGUGCCAGCCGCCGCGGUAAUACCCGCAGCUCGAGUGGUGGUCGCUUUUAUUGAGCCUAAAACGUUCGUAGUCGGCCUUGUAAAUCCCUGGGUAAAUUGGGCCGCUUAACGGUUCAAAUUCCGGGGAGACUGCAAGGCUAGGGACCGGGCGAGGUCAGAGGUACUUUCGGGGUAGGAGUGAAAUCCUGUAAUCCCGAAGGGACCACCUGUGGCGGAAGCGUCUGACUUGAACGGCUCCGACGAUGAGGAACGAAGGCUAGGGGAGCAAACCGGAUUAGAUACCCGGGUAGUCCUAGCUGUAAACUCUGCCCGCUUGGUGUGGCCUGUCCUUUGGGGGCAGGCCGUGCCGGAGCGAAGGUGUUAAGCGGGCUGCUUGGGGAGUACGGCCGCAAGGUUGAAACUUAAAGGAAUUGGCGGGGGAGCACCGCAACGGGAGGAUGCGUGCGGUUUAAUUGGAUUCAACGCCGGAAAACUCACCUGAGGAGACCAGCGUAUGUGGGUCAAGCCGAAGACUUUACCCGAACAACAGCUGGAGAGGUGGUGCAUGGCCAUCGUCAGCUCGUACCGUAGGGCAUUCACUUAAGUGUGAUAACGAGCGAGACCCCCAUCCCUAGUUGCUAACCCCUCCGAAAGGAGGGGUGCACUCUAGGGAGACCGCUUCCGCUAAGGAAGAGGAAGGAGGGGUCGACGGUAGGUCAGUAUGCCCCGAAUCCUCAGGGCAACACGCGCGCUACAAAGGACAGGACAAUGGGUUCCAACCCCGAAAGGGGAAGGUAAUCCCGAAACCUGUUCGUAGUCCGGAUUGAGGGCUGUAACUCGCCCUCAUGAAGGUGGA